GGAAUUUUAAUGAGAGAAGAAUAAGGUAACUUUUGGCUACGACACAAACACAACUAAAAAAGAAUAGUAUAAUGAUUUAGACCCAACAAAACAAAAGUUCAAUGCUGAGAUAGACCCAACAAAAGAAAAGUACAAUGUUGUCGUACUCAUCACCUCUUGACCCAUCUCUCCAGCUCACUCUAUGUUGUGUGCACAAAAACAAAACUCAAAAGCCUCUUACACGCCUCUCUCUCUCUCUCUCUCUCUCUCUCUCUCUCUCUCACACACACACACACACACAGAAGCACACAUAAACAGAGAGACCCAUGCACUUCACUUCUCUCUAUAAAAUCUCUUUCUUUCUAAUUGGGUUUGUUGAGCUGAGGCAUGGUUGCUGGCCAAAUCUGGAAUAGCCUAUUUCAUGGUUGUCUACCAUUUGAAGGAAAUCUUCUUCUUUGGGCAGAGCCCUUCCCGUCCACCAGCUAUACCAGUCUCUAGCUCAACACACGGUGCUUUGUUUAAGGAGGUUAGUCGGUAAAACCCAUUUGAUCAGUGACAGUGGAAGAGGCUUCAAAUUAGAGACCAGUGGUGAUAUAUUGCUUUGGUGGGAGAACAGAGAAGUCA